AGUAACGCGUGAGGAACCUGCCUCAAAGAGGGGGACAACAGUUGGAAACGACUGCUAAUACCGCAUAAGCCCACGGUGCCGCAUGGCACAGAGGGAAAAGGAGCAAUCCGCUUUGAGAUGGCCUCGCGUCCGAUUAGCUAGUUGGUGAGGUAAUGGCCCACCAAGGCGACGAUCGGUAGCCGGACUGAGAGGUUGAAUGGCCACAUUGGGACUGAGACACGGCCCAG
rnacentral:rRNA from 1 species